rnacentral:rRNA from 1 species
GGGUUGUGAGGUUAAGCGAAUAAGCGUACACGGUGGAUGCCUAGGCAGUCAGAGGCGAUGAAGGACGUGCUAAUCUGCGAUAAGCGCCGGUAAGGUGAUAUGAACCGUUAUAACCGGCGAUUUCCGAAUGGGGAAACCCAGUGUGAUUCGUCACACUAUCAUUACCUGAAUACAUAGGGUAAUGAAGCGAACCGGGAGAACUGAAACAUCUAAGUACCCCGAGGAAAAGAAAUCAAACGAGAUUCCCCCAGUAGCGGCGAGCGAACGGGGAGCAGCCCAGAACCUUAAUCACUAUCAGCAUCAGGAGAACAGUCUGGAAAGGCUGGCCGCAGCAGGUGAUAGCCCUGUAUCCGAAGGUGCUGGUAGUGUGAGUUCGAUGAGUAAGGCGGGACACGUGUUAUCCUGUCUGAAUAUGGGGGGACCAUCCUCCAAGGCUAAAUACUCCUGACUGACCGAUAGUGAACCAGUACCGUGAGGGAAAGGCGAAAAGAACCCCGGCGAGGGGAGUGAAAAAGAACCUGAAACCGUGUACGUACAAGCAGUGGGAGCACNNNNNNNNNNNNNNNNNNNNNNNNNNNNNNNNNNNNNNNNNNNNNNNNNNNNNNNNNNNNNNNNNNNNNNNNNNNNUUAGUUGCAGGGUAUAGACCCGAAACCCGGUGAUCUAGCCAUGGGCAGGUUGAAGGUUGGGUAACACUAACUGGAGGACCGAACCGACUAAUGUUGAAAAAUUAGCGGAUGACUUGUGGCUGGGGGUGAAAGGCCAAUCAAACCGGGAGAUAGCUGGUUCUCCCCGAAAGCUAUUUAGGUAGCGCCUCGUGAAUUCAUCUCCGGGGGUAGAGCACUGUUUCGGCUAGGGGGUCAUCCCGACUUACCAACCCGAUGCAAACUGCGAAUACCGGAGAAUGUUAUCACGGGAGACACACGGCGGGUGCUAACGUUCGUCGUGAAGAGGGAAACAACCCAGACCGCCGGCUAAGGUCCCAAAGUCAUAAUUAAGUGGGAAACGAAGUGGGAAGGCUCAGACAGCCAGGAUGUUGGCUUAGAAGCAGCCAUCAUUUAAAGAAAGCGUAAUAGCUCACUGGUCGAGUCGGCCUGCGCGGAAGAUGUAACGGGGCUAAAUUAUGCACCGAAGCCGCGGCAGCGAUAUGUAAAUAUUGUUGGGUAGGGGAGCGUUCUGUAAGCCUGUGAAGGUGACCUGUGAGGGUUGCUGGAGGUAUCAGAAGUGCGAAUGCUGACAUAAGUAACGAUAAUGCGGGUGAAAAACCCGCACGCCGGAAGACCAAGGGUUCCUGUCCAACGUUAAUCGGGGCAGGGUGAGUCGACCCCUAAGGCGAGGCUGAAAAGCGUAGUCGAUGGGCAACGGGUUAAUAUUCCCGUACUGGUGGUAACUGCGAAGGGGGGACGGAGAAAGCUAAAUCAUCCGGGCGACGGUUGUCCCGGUUUAAGCGUGCAGGUGGACUGACCAGGCAAAUCCGGUCGGUUGUUAACACUGAGGCGUGACGACGAGCCACUACGGUGGUGAAGUGAUUGAUGCUCUGCUUCCGGGAAAAGCCUCUAAGCUCCAGGUNNNNNNNNNNNNNNNNNNNNNNNNNNNNNNNNNNNNNNNNNNNNNNNNNNNNNNNNNNNNNNCAUGGAGCUGAAGCCAGCCGCAGAUACCAGCUGGCUGCAACUGUUUAUUAAAAACACAGCACUGUGCAAACACGAAAGUGGACGUAUACGGUGUGACGCCUGCCCGGUGCCGGAAGGUUAAUUGAUGAGGUCAGCCGCAAGGCGAAGCUUCUGAUCGAAGCCCCGGUAAACGGCGGCCGUAACUAUAACGGUCCUAAGGUAGCGAAAUUCCUUGUCGGGUAAGUUCCGACCUGCACGAAUGGCGUAAUGAUGGCCAGGCUGUCUCCACCCGAGACUCAGUGAAAUUGAACUCGCUGUGAAGAUGCAGUGUACCCGCGGCAAGACGGAAAGACCCCGUGAACCUUUACUAUAGCUUGACACUGAACAUUGAGCCUUGAUGUGUAGGAUAGGUGGGAGGCAAUGAAGUGUGGACGCCAGUCUGCACGGAGCCAUCCUUGAAAUACCACCCUUUAACGUUUGAUGUUCUAACCCGGGUCCAUAAUCUGGAUCGGGGACCGUGUCUGGUGGGUAGUUUGACUGGGGCGGUCUCCUCCCAAAGAGUAACGGAGGAGCACGAAGGUUGGCUAAGCAUGGUCGGACAUCAUGCGGUUAGUGCAAAGGCAUAAGCCAGCUUGACUGCGAGAGUGACGGCUCGAGCAGGUACGAAAGUAGGUCUUAGUGAUCCGGUGGUUCUGAAUGGAAGGGCCAUCGCUCAACGGAUAAAAGGUACUCCGGGGAUAACAGGCUGAUACCGCCCAAGAGUUCAUAUCGACGGCGGUGUUUGGCACCUCGAUGUCGGCUCAUCACAUCCUGGGGCUGAAGUAGGUCCCAAGGGUAUGGCUGUUCGCCAUUUAAAGUGGUACGCGAGCUGGGUUUAGAACGUCGUGAGACAGUUCGGUCCCUAUCUGCCGUGGGCGCUGGAAGAUUGAGAGGGGUUGCUCCUAGUACGAGAGGACCGGAGUGAACGCACCACUGGUGUACGGGUUGUGAUGCCAAUUGCAUUGCCCGGUAGCUAAGUGCGGAAGAGAUAACCGCUGAAAGCAUCUAAGCGGGAAACUUGCCUCGAGAUGAGUCUUCCCUGACCCUUUAAGGGUCCUGAAGGAACGUUUGAGACUAAGACGUUGAUAGGCUGGGUGUGUAAGCGCAGCGAUGCGUUGAGCUGACCAGUACUAAUGAACCGUGAGGCUUAACCUGACAACACCGAAGGUGUUU